AGAUGGACAUAUAUAACAUGGCAGCUGGAAACAGCUCUUGCCAUUGAGAGUGAUUCUGGCAGAGAUGGAGACAUAUAGAGCCAUCCAUGCCCCAGCUUGACAACACUUGGCACUUCCCAGGCCUUUGCCUGAAGAGUUCAAAACACAUUGUAUGGGGGAAAGGCAGGUCUGGUGUAGGGUCCUGGUGGAGGUAGAACCUGGAAGACCUUUGAAGGGGGGUCCCCAGGGGGAAGGAUGACAGAGCCAAGCUAGUCAUGAGCUUCCUGUUUUGCCAAGAGCACAAGAACAGCUCUUGGAAUUGGAGUUGGCUCUGGAGAUGGUAGCACUCCUCAGGACACAGACUUUCUGGCUGCUGCUCCUUACAAGCCGCUUAACAGCUUUUCCUGCAUGUGCUGGGUUGGAUUCAGGCUUGCUUCAAACUUCAUUUUGGCUUUUAAUUUCCACAGGAGUAAAAGCUCUUUGCCUGCUCUCUCUGAUGCUGCUUGUGUUUUGUAGCUGCAUUCUGGAGCCAAGGGCCAGCCUGUUUCAGGCAAUCCUCAUGGAUGUGCCUUCGCCCUUCCUCCCAGAUAACACAGCGCUGGGACAUUGGCAUGGGGUCAUCAGUGUGAAUCUGUAUGGUGGUGAUGGGCUGAUGUAAAUUAAAUGAGACUGUUCUCAGCAUGGUCUCUGGUGCCCCAGGGUUCCUGUCUUCUGCACAGACAAGCCCUGACAUGAUCUAAUCUCAAGUGGAGGUGCUUCACCUUGAGUUCUGACAGGACAGAUUCCUUCUGAGGGGUCUCAUUCUGAUGCAGAAGAUGAUGCUCAGAGGGACCAUUGCAUUUCCAAAUAAAUUAACUAACAGUAGGGUUUUAUAGUGAAGAUGGCUGCCUGAUUGUCUUUUGGAUGGGACAGGAAUAGAGUACAUUUUGGGGAGAAAAACUAGCUGGGCAGAACCAGGCAGGCAGGUAAGGAGCAGUUAAGGACUCUGGCUGGUCCUGAAGCUGAGUCUGAGUGUGGGGCAGACAUGGUGCUCCCCCAGGGGAACCAGAGUUCAGCUGCUGGGUGGGAGCCCCAGAAUGGCAAAGGGGGAGCCCUCUUUUCCCCCAGGGAGAGCCCUCUCUCACCCCUCUUGGGCUGCAGAGGGAGCGAAACAGGCUGCAAAGGGCUCAGGUCAUGUAGCACCUCUGUGGGGCUAGAGUGGGGACCUGGGGUGUGACAGUGCUGCUCCCAGUGCUGCAUCACCCCCAGCUUUCUGGAGGGCUUGUCAUGUGGGAUGUUGCCUUUGCAAACAGUGCCUGGUGCACCCCAGCAGUGACUAGUGCAUCCCAGCACACCCAGUGCGUAUCCCUAGACAGCUUCUUGGCUCUUGCAGCCAUGCUCAGCUAUGUUUUCCACUGCACCACCAGGCUGGGACUCCCUGUCACUCAAAGUGUGUCUGACUCAGCCUUUCUCAAAAUAUUUCAGCUUACAAUUGCAGGAUUUGUAGCCAUGCUGCUGUGUGCCUGGGCAUGCGGUGUCAGUGUGUGCACACUGUGUCUGGGGGUGUCUGUUUGGGGUGUGGGUGUGCAAGAUGAGGGGCUCCCUCCUGCCUCACUGUUGGCAGCUGCGUGACCCCAGACCUCUGCCCCAGCCCCAACGCCACCGCAGCUCCCGCCAGCAGUUCCCACCAGCAGUUCCCCUUCCUGGCUCCACCUCGCCGCAGCACCAUGGCGGCCCUCAUCUCGGUGUGCGACUUCGUGCUGCAGACGCAGGAGGACCUCAGUUCACCCACCACCUCUGCCUUUGCCAGCCACAUGGGCCGCUGCAAGGCCACUGCCAACAGCCUGGAGGAGGGCUUGGAUGCUGACCGAGCUGUGCUGCAGAAGAUGAGGAAAGCAGCCAAGGCGGAGUACAGCUGUGGACAAGACCUCAUCAGCCACCUCGAAGCCCACAUUGCUGCACAGGAGAAGUUCUCAGCCAACUACCAGCUGGAGGGUGAGGAACAGCUGGCCAGUGCCUUUAACACCUUUGCUGCCUUCUCCCAGGAGCUGCUGACUGCCGUCAGGAGCCUGUGGCAGAGUUUGUACCACAACAUUAACUUUUCCCUGGAGUCAUUAAUAAAGGGUGACAUGAAAGAGCUCAAAGGGGAGUUCAAGAAGCCCUUUGAGAAGGCCUGCAAAGACUAUGAGAGUAAACUUGGCAAGAUUGAGAAAGAGAAGCGUGAGCUGGCGAAGCAGCACGGCAUGGUACGGAGCGAGGUGAGUGGUGGGGAGAUUGCUGAGGAGAUGGAGAAGGAGCGCAGGAUUUUCCAGUUGAACAUGUGUGAGUAUCUAAUCAAAGUGAAUGAGAUCAAAACUAAGAAAGGAAUUGACCUACUGCAAAACCACAUCAAGCACUGCAGCUCACAGUUCAAUUUUUUCCAGGAAUGUUUAAACACAACAGCAAAACUUAAGGAGUUUACAGAGAAACUCAUCCCGGAGCUGCAGAGUAUGAAGGUCAAGCAAGACGAAGAGAAGAAGCAGCUCUGCUCCCUUCGGGAUCAGCUGAAAACAGCAUUGCAGCUGGAUCAGAAAGAGGAUCCUGGGAACAAGCAGGCAGGGUACAACAUGCAUCAGCUGCAAGGGAACAAGCAGUAUGGCACAGAGAAGUCGGGGACACUCUCCAAGAGAAGUGAUGGGUUGAGAAAAGUCUGGCAGAAGAGGAAAUGCACCAUCAGCAAUGGCUACCUGACCAUCUCUCACAGCAUGCCCAACCGCCCACCAGCCAAGCUGAAUUUACUGACCUGCCAGGUGAAGCCGAACAUGGAUGACAAGAAAUGCUUCGAUCUGGUUUCCCACAACCGCACGUACCGCUUCCUGGCAGAGGACGAGCAAGACUGUAUUGCCUGGGUGUCCGUCCUCAGCAACAGCAAGGAGGAGGCGCUGAACGUGGCAUUCAGCAAGGCACAGGGCAGAGAGAAGAGUAGCCGGGAGGAGCUGAUCCAAGCCAUCAUCGAGGAGGUCAGAGGCAUGCCUGGAAACAGGGAGUGCUGCGACUGCUCUGCCCCAGAUCCCACUUGGCUCUCCAUUAACUUGGGCAUCCUGAUCUGCAUAGAAUGCUCUGGGAUUCACAGAGAGAUGGGUGUGCAUCUCUCCCGCAUCCAGUCGCUGUCGCUGGACAAGCUGGCAACCUCCGAAUUGCUGCUGGCGAGGAAUAUUGGCAACUCUGGCUUCAAUGCCAUCGUGGAAGCAAAUCUCCCCAGCUUUUCCUUGAAGCCCACAGUGCGCAGUGACAUGGCCUUUCGGAAAAAUUUCAUCAUUUCCAAGUACAUUGAGAAGAAAUAUGCCAAGAGGAGUCCUUCUGCUCAGUGCUCCAGCCUCCCAGAAGCUGUCAAGGGCAAGGACAUAUUUUCUUUGCUCCAAGCGUAUGCGGAGAACGUGGAUUUGAGCGAGCCUGUGCUGGCACCUCUGCAGGAACCUGGGGAAACCAUUCUCCACCUGGCAGUGCUGUUGUCUGAUCGAACCUCUUUGCAUAUCGUUGAUUUUCUUGUCCAGAACAGUGGGAGCCUGGCAAAGCAGACAGCAGGGGGGAACACGCCGCUUCACUACUGCUGCUCUCACAACAAACCCGAGUGUGUCAAGCUGCUGCUGAAGGCCAAAGCCAACAUCGCCAUCACUAAUGAAGUAGGAGAGACUGCCCUGGAUGUUGCUAGGAGGAUGAGACAUCUGCUGUGUGAAGAGCUGCUGCUGCAGGCCCAGAGCAAUCAGUUCAACCCCAAUGUCCACGUGGAGUAUGAGUGGUGGCUGGGCCAAGAUGACAUGUAUGAGAGUGAUGAAGACCUGGAUGAGAAGCUGGGUCCUGUGAAGAGGGGGUCUGCCCGUCCCCAGAGCUGCUACCACCCCCCUGCCAUGGCCCCCAGGACAGAGGGCCCAGCAGGAGCAGUGCCACGAGGGAGAUGGCCAGACACCUGCCCCCCGCCAGCCGCCCACCUCUGCAGCAUGGACGUGCCACCAGCCCCCUCCUAUGCCCCUCCGUUCCUGCCCCAGUGGGAAAAGCCAGCUCCCCAGGGGGCAUAUCCACCCUUCCUUACCAGCUCGUCAGUCUCUGCUGAGGACACAAGAAGUAGGAGGAGCCCAUCCUUGCCUCUGAGCAUUAAACACAAGCGCACAUCCUCGGAGCCGGUGCCUUGGGUACCACUCAGCCCCGAGCAGCCCAGCCCUACCAGCCUGGCUUCAGGUACCCUGAAAACCAUGGACCACUUCUGCAUGCCUGGCCCUGGCAAAGUGGGACAACCUGGCCCAUGCAGAUCCCUCCAGGAGUCAGAUCCAUGUUCUGGCCAUGCACAGGAUGUCCCUCCUCUUCUUCCUCGUAGGAGCAGUUUGAACAGAUUGCUGAUCCGCAGGGUCCGUGCUCUCUAUGACUGCAAUGCUGACCGGGAAGAUGAGCUGACUUUCCGCACAGGCGAGAUCAUUGUGGUGUGUGAAAAGGAGGACAGCAAUUGGUGGGUGAGCGAACCUGUGUAUGCUGACCAGUACUAGGAUGCACACGAUCCCCUCUCCAUCCAUCUCUUGCCUCUGUCACACCCAUUGUCAUCUCCUGCUCUGCAUCUGCCUCUCCAUCUUCCAUCUUUUCCUUGAAAGGGUGGAUUGAAGGACAGCCUCACAGGCAAGGUGUUUUCCCUGCUUCAUUUGUUCAUGUGCUCAAUGAAUAGGAG